GAUGAACGCUAGCUACAGGCUUAACACAUGCAAGUCGAGGGACCGGCGCACGGGUGAGUAACACGUAUCCAACCUGCUCUUUACUCGGGGAUAGCCUUUCGAAAGAAAGAUUAAUACCCGAUAUAAAGGAUGGGGAUGCGUUCCAUUAGGUUGUUGGUGAGGUAACAGCCCACCAAGCCUUCGAUGGAUAGGGGUUCUGCGAGGAAGGUCCCCCACAUUGGAACUGAGACACGAGCCAAACUCCUACGGGAGGCAGCAGUGAGGAAUAUUGGUCAAUGGGCGUUGGCCUGAACCAGCCAAGUAGCGUGAAGGAUGAAGGCUUAUGGGUCGUAAACUUCUUUUAUAUAAGAAUAUGUAUUAUAUGAAUGAGGAUAGGCUUACUCCGUGCCAGCAGCCGCGGGAAUAC
rnacentral:rRNA from 1 species